ACCUGCAGGAUAGCUCAGGUGGUAGAGCAUGAAGCUUUUAAUUUCAGAGCUGUGGAUUUGAGCCCCACAUUGGGGA